ACGAUUGAAAUUUUUUGCCGCUGUCGAUGCUCCAGCCACCACCACUCAAUCAUUUUGGCCGUGGGCCAUCACCAACCACACCCCUCCUUCUUCAUACUAUUUUUCUUAAAGAAAGCCAUCGAUUCAGCUUGAGAAAGAGAAGAAAGAAAGGGGGAAAGAAAGAGAAGAGAGAGAUAUGAGAGACAAGAGAAGAAAAAAGUAAAAG
rnacentral:lncRNA from 1 species